UUUCAAGGGAUGGGAAUCGAACCCACGACCUUCCGCUUACCGGGCAGAUGCCAUGACCACUAGGCUACCCUGGA